UGGAAUAAGGAGGAGAGGGGAUC
rnacentral:piRNA from 1 species